AUGAUUGCAAGUUUUCUGAGGCCUUCCCCGAAGCUCAGCAGAUGCCAGCGUCAUUCUGCCUGUACAGCCUGCAGAACCUCAUUAACUCUGGCAUGUAGCAGCAGAAGAGAGCAUUGGAAAGAGUCCAGUGGAGCAGAGAAAGGUGGGGAGUGGACGAUCAAGGACAGCCAGGUCUUGAUUUGGAAAAGAUGCCCGUGGAAAGGACACUCACUGAAAAGUGUGUUCUGUGCCCUGGAAGGCUGGAACUGGAAGGCUGACUACAUCAGGGACGACUCUCUUGCUGUAGGGCUUCUUGUUGAGUCCAGCCAAUGCCAGACAAAUGAGGGAAUCCAAAGGUGGGAGAAGAGCGAGAUGCGGGUAACCUGGACACCCACUGGUGACGCUGGGACCCUGACUAGGAACACCUUUCUUUGAAGAUUACAACAAUCCAUUUUAACUACUAUGAAAUGGUUCUGGAAUGACACUGUUGUGAAGAGGAAAUUCCAGCGGAGCUACUGGAGCAAGCCUUUGAUCUGCCAUAUUGAGCUCCUCCAGCCAUGCGGAUUCGCUGCACUAUAAGAAAAACAUUUCUAUGACCACUUUAAAGCUAAAUUCAUUUCAGGUUUGUCCUGAAGAGAGACUCAGAGAAGGCUAAAAGGCUAGCCCAGGCUUCCAUUUUGAGACAGGGAGAGUAUCCAGCAAUAUGACGGAGGUAACAAGUGACAAGCAGGAUUGUGUGGGGCUUUUUCUUUGAAGAUCUUCUGUAGUAAAACAGAAUGGAACUUGUCUAUUUACAACAUUUUUCAAUUUUUCUGGGCAGUCAAUAAAACAUAACAUUACCAACAUCAUUUUCUCUCACCUAAUCUAGGAGAUUUUUCUUUAUGUCGUUUUUUAAUACUUUAUUCAUUAUAAAAGUUUUUCCACCUUUUACAUUUUGCAGUUACUAAUAUUAAGAAACGAAAUGCCAAUUUGUUUGCAAGCCAUGUAAAAGGAACAUCUUAACAGGAUAGCAAAUGAUUAAAUAUAUGGUGUGUUGUGUGGCAUAUAUUUGAUGGUUUUGUGACCAGAAAUGGUCUAAUAUCUAGUGUUUCAUCUUAUACCAUCAAAGUAAGGUCAUCUUUGUCCUAUUUCUUUAUUCCUCUUUGUGCUCAUAUAUAUUUAUUGAACAUUUGUGUGUAUUUAGCAGUGACAGGGAUGAAAAUAGUCUGACUUUAGGGAAGCAUUGUUUUUCAGGCUUUAAUAAUAAAACCGAUAUUUUCCAGGGCACAGAAUGCCUACCUGUGCCUAGGUGAUAAGGUCUCGAACACAAUGAGCUCUUUUGUUCUGAGAAGCAGCCCAGGCUUAUUCUGCUACUUCUCCCUGUUUUACAAUCUUGCUAAGGUUGACCUUUACCUAUCUUGUGGUGCUUUUUCAACAAAAAUAAAAUUCUUAACUGGUUUUUAUGACUGACUAUAAAACAUCCCUUUCAACUUCACCUGUUAAUAAAGGGAACUAGCUCUUCCUUCUCCUGUAUACUUGGAAAAAAUAGAAUAAAAACAACAAACAAAAUAGUUACUUAACUGAAAAAAAAAAAAGGUAUUGAGAUUAGUCUUACAAUGUGUAAGAUUCUCAAAUAGUCCUUAAAUACAAUCCUUAAUUUAAUUUUUAAAAUGCUGUGUUUUCUUAAACCACUUCUCUCUCUUUCACAUCCCCUCUACCACCACCCUGGGGGUCUUUUGCAAUAGAGUAGAAUGUUCACAGGAUUCACUUUUGAUAUGGGUUAUUUUUUGGAACAAUGGCAGAUUGAUUGAUGGGUAGUUGGGGUAAUCUUUACUAUUUCGUACUGCUAUCUUUAAAUACUCAGUAGAUAAUUGCUCUGAUUAAAUUUGUCUGUUAAACACAGUAGCUUUGGUAAACAUUGCAAGAGGAUACAGUAAGGAUACAGUAAUGCAAUCCCCUUUUAGUACUAAAAUAUUUUAUUUGAAUGGGUUUUUAAUCAAUAAAGAGCAAUUUAGUUCUCAGAGAUGCAUGGGCAAUUCCCAUUGAUUUGUAUGAAAUCCUUGGGUUCUUUUUAGAGUGAUGGAUGGUUUAGUGUGGUUGUUUAAAAAUAAAAUUGUAUUCUUGGGCUGGAGACUCCAUGCUGGAGAGAGAUGGUAUAUAAUGGAUGAAACUGGUCUCAUGGAAGUCCCUGAUGCUUCGUGAUAUUUAGGGGACCAAAUAUCACUGAAUGGUUGGUUUUUGUUUUGAGACUGAAUAACUGUAUUAAUCUGUUUUGUGUUGCUAUUAAAAAAAACUGCUAUUGGCUAAAAUAUAAAGAAAAUAGGUUUAUUCAGCUCACAUUUCUGCAGGCAACCAUAUCUGCUCAGCUCCUGGUGAGGCCUCAGGAAGCUUUUACUCAUGGUGGAAGUUGAAAGGGGAGCAGGUCUGUCACAUGGUGAGAGAGGGAGCAAGAGAGAGAGCGGGGAGUUCCCUGACUUUUUAACAAGCAGAUCUCAUGUGAACUCAUUACUGCCAGGAGAGCACCAAGUCAUUCAGUAAGUAUCCUCCUCUAUGACCCAAACACCUCUAGCUAGGCCUCACCUCCAACAUUGGGGAUCACGUUCCAACAUGAGAUUUGGAGGGGACUAACAUCCAAACUAUAUCUAUAAUGCUUCCCAGUGAUUCUCUAUCAUGUGCACUCCAGUGUUCCCAUACUGUACACAGUGAUACAUUUUAUUUCUGUGAAACUUUUAAUGAGUUAUUAUAUGUCGGGGCUUAGAAUGCUGUCUGGCACAGACUAAGUACUAUGUAAGGGUUAGAAAUAAUUGUUACUAGUUAUUCCAAGGCCAACUCCAGCCUUAACUCAUCAGCCAGGUGAGAUGGAAAUGGAAGCAUGGCUUAGGAAAGAAAGUGUAUCAGUUAACAUUAGCUGUCUAACACAGAAAUGUCAAUUGCAAUGGUUUAAAAAUAGCAACCAUGUAUUUAGCUUAUGGGUCUUUGGAUCAUCAAGUUGGACUGGGCUCAGGUUGGCAGUUUUUCUGCUUUUGGCUCUGCUUAGCAUAAACAUCUCUGGUCAGUAUAAGCAUAAACAUCUUUGGUCAGUGGCCAGGUCACCUGGUGUCUGACUAGUCUAGGAUGGGCUCAGCUGGGAUGGCUUGUCUUCGCUUCACAGGUUAGCUUGAGCAUGAUGUCAUGGUGAAGCCAGGGGAGCAAGUCACGAAGACAGGCUUAGAUUGGCCAAAGAAAACUCCAAGUCCAACCCAGAUUCACUGGGUGGGGAAAUAAACUCUACCUGUUGCAAAAUCACAGUGGAAAAUGAGUGGAUAGAAAAGAGUGAAGGAUUUUACAAUCUGCCACACGUUUGUGCAUUCAUCUGAAUGUACAAGUACAUGACUUUUGGGGAUGAAGAAAGAAUACAAGGCUCCAGAGUCAUGAUUUCAGGUGACUUAGGAUAUGGUGGCACUAUGCAGAUAAAUAGGAAAUAAAGUAGGAGAAGCAUUUACCUUUGAAUGUAUAGAAUUUAAAACAGAGAUGACAUGUUUAAGAGAAAGUGUCCAGUAAGGGGUCUGGAAAUCCACAGAGAAACCAGGCCUACAGAUAAGAUAUUUAGGAUGUCAACAGAUGUAAAUAGAUGCAAACAGCAACAACUACCUGUUGUUUUCCUAGCCACCAUGUGGUUAGAGAAUUAACAUGGUUUACUUUUGAGUCUCCCCUUAGUGGACACACUCUUUCCAACUGUUAGUUCAUGUGAUUCGGAUGAGCCCAACCCUGGCCAUCUGCCAUUCAGGUCUGGCCAAUCAGCACAUUCCAGCCCUCUGGUCAUAGGGAUUGGUUUGGGAAUGGCAUUGGACCAAAUUGGUUCUAACAAAAUGAAAUCCUGGCACUUUUGUUGAAUCCGUUGGAACUUUC
ensembl:lncRNA